GAGGAUAUAGCUCAGUGGUAGAGCAUGUGCUUAGCAUGCAUGAGGUCCUGGGUUCAAUCCCCAGUACCUCCA
rnacentral:tRNA from 1 species